UCCCCCUCUCUGCUCUCCCCCCUGUCCCAUCCUUCAUCGCGUCCGCCGCCGUCCGCAUCCAUUUCGCGCGAAAUCCAGGUUCCCCCUCCCCCUCUCUGCUCUCCGCCCUCUCCCGUCCGUGGCUUUCCACUGCUGCAUCCACCGCCGUCCGCGUCCGCCAUCAUUUUCCAUCGUUGCUUCCCGCCCUCCGCAUCUCGUCGCUUCCUGCCCUCCGCUGCUGUCACUUCCCGCCAUCCGCGUCCGCCAGAGGUAACUAUUUCAAGACUUUUUUUUUUUUUGGUGUUGAUCGGGCCAUCGGGGACCGGAGAGGGGUCGGCCGGCGGCAGCGGAGAUAGUGUCAGCGGCGACUGAGACUGAGCCAGCGGAGAUGGGGUGUGGGGUCGG
rnacentral:lncRNA from 1 species